rnacentral:rRNA from 1 species
UACGAAGGGGACUAGCGUUGUUCGGAUUUACUGGGCGUAAAGCGCGCGUAGGCGGCUUUGUAAGUUAGAGGUGAAAGCCCAGGGCUCAACCCUGGAAUUGCCUUUAAGACUGCAUCGCUUGAACAUCGGAGAGGUAAGUGGAAUUCCGAGUGUAGAGGUGAAAUUCGUAGAUAUUCGGAAGAACACCAGUGGCGAAGGCGACUUACUGGACGAUUGUUGACGCUGAGGUGCGAAAGCGUGGGGAGCAAACAGG